CGGGGACUAGGGGAACGGCCUCUGCCUCGGGUUUCAUCAGCGGGUCCUGCCAUCAGCUGAACGGCAUGAUCUCCAGCAUAGUUCGGGCAUGGGGGGCCAACAUCACAGAGCUUGUCCAGCAGGAGUCUGAAUCGGUUGUGGAGGCAUUUCUUGAUCUGCCAACUGACCUCGGUUUGCGCCUGGGCUAUGCAGGAGUUCGUUGCCAUGGCCGCUGCUGAGGGCCAGCGCGGCGAUGCCGGCGGCGUCGUCUACCCCGGCGGUGCCUUCGACCCCCUGGGGUGAGACUGGCAGCGGGAGCGCAGUGGGAGGGUUUACAAUUAGACAGGUUCCUCUGCCAGCUGCUCGGUCGGCUUCUCCUGUGUGGGAGCGCGCUUGUUGAGCUGGGUGUAGCGCGGCCUCUGCUCCAGUAAGCGCGGACGUGGGCCACGUAAAUACGGCUGUGAGAUUGUCUUCCUGUGUAAGGCACUGACAAGUCUUUCGUCCUUGCCGUGCAGCUUCGCCAAGGACUCGUCCAAGUCGGGUGAGCUGAAGCUGAAGGAGAUCAAGAACGGCCGCCUGGCCAUGGUUGCUUUCCUGGGCUUCGUUGCCCAGCACGCCGCCACCGGCAAGGGCCCCAUUGCUGGUGAGCAUGCAGUCAAUGCGUCCGGGAUUGGGCUGGGGUCCCAAUGUGUACCUGGGGUCCCAACUUGUAUCUCGGGUUACAGACUUGUACAAGUAUCCCUCAGCGGCCACUGCGACUACUGAGCCUGGUGAUGAUUAUGACUGACGGCACAUUUCCCCUCGUGUCCCUUUGUGCUUGCGUGCAGCCCUGGGCGAGCACCUGGCCAACCCUUGGGGCGCCAACUUUGCCACCAACGGCAUCUCCGUCCCCUUCUUCUAAAUGCACACUCCCAGACACUUCUUGUGUUGACUAAAGCCACAUGCAAAUGAUCUCCUGAUAGCGGGAGAUUGCAUAGCAUGCGGAUGACACCAGAGGACCAGCGGACGGGCUUCACGGCUCCAAGGGGGGUGGCGAAGCGCGCUGGUCCUU
rnacentral:lncRNA from 1 species